rnacentral:rRNA from 1 species
UGCGAAUGCUGACAUGAGUAACGUAAAAAUAAGUGAGAUUCUUAUUGGCCGAAAGUCCAAGGGUUCCUACGCAAUGUUAAUCAACGUAGGGUGAGUCGGUGCCUAAGGCGUAGCUGAAGAGUGAAGUCGAUGGGAAACAGGUUAAUAUUCCUGUACUUCUAUAUAUUGCGAUGGGGAGACGGAGAAAGCUAAACCAGCAUGGCGACGGUUGUCCAUGUUUAAGGUUGUAGGCUGAGAGCUUAGGCAAAUCCGGGCUCUUAAG